rnacentral:tRNA from 1 species
GCAAUAAUAGCUUAAUGCUAAAGCAUUGGUCUUGUAAGCCAAGGAUGAGGUGCAAAAUUUCUUAUUGCU